rnacentral:rRNA from 1 species
UACGUAUGUGGCGAGCGUUGUCCGGAUUUACUGGGCGUAAAGGGAGCGUAGGCGGACUUUUAAGUGAGAUGUGAAAUACUCGGGCUCAACUUGAGUGCUGCAUUUCAAACUGGAAGUCUAGAGUGCAGGAGAGGAGAAUGGAAUUCCUAGUGUAGCGGUGAAAUGCGUAGAGAUUAGGAAGAACACCAGUGGCGAAAGCGGCUCUCUGGUCUGUAACUGACGCUGAGGUUCGAAAGCGUGGGUAGCAAACAGG